UGCUGGGAGUCAUCACGGUUACCAACGGAUGUUUACAAAGCGUGUAAAAAUCACACCGGCUCUUAAAAAGAACGGCUGGAAUGUCUGUGGUGCCAGAGGAAAAAGAAAGGCCACUGAUAAGCAGAAAACACUGUACUUGCUUUUCGGGAAAUUUAAAAAAAAAAAAAAAAGACUUCCAGCGACAGAGAAAAGAAUAAAAGGUUUCCCUACCCUCUGGAAAACUGGGAAGGUGUCAGCCAGAAACAAAGAACACAUCCUUGAUUCAGAGGAACAUUCCAGCCCUGAAAAACCACACAAACAUUAAUUCAUCUUGUGUGAAUCCCGUUCCCUCACCAGCCUUACAGUCACCACUUACUGCGGUCACUUCCUCCUGAUGCAAAAGCACACUGAGCAACAGAGGUCACAAAUCAAAAGCAGGAAGGUGCAGAAUAAAAGACAAUGUCCAGGACUCCAACAGCAUGGCAACUCGUGGGAGCCCUCUCUUCUUGCCUUAGUGCUUAUAGACCAUUCCAAGAGGAACCCUGUACCCAAAGAAAUUAUCCGAGUGCCCAGGCUAUGGCAUACUCAGAGGAGAUCAAUAUGUACCGGGGGGCGGGGGUGGGGUGGUGGUGGUGCAUCUAAUUUUAUUAGUGGAACAUUUCUACACUUUUUAAAACCAAAGGUUGAAUGUGAAUGGACCCUGAAAUGACUUUCUUAAGAAAAGUCCCACAUUUCACAGAGGACAGAGGCAUCGGUUCUAGAAGUAAACGGUGUGUCUAUGAGUCUCGGACGGGCUUUUCAGCUAAUUAAAACUCAGUUCAGUGGA